UACGUAGGGAGCAAGCGUUGUCCGGAAUCAUUGGGCGUAAAGCGCGUGUAGGCGGCUUGAUAAGUCUGCUCUGAAAGCCCGGGGCUCAACCCUGGGAGGCGGGUGGAUACUGUCGAGCUCGAGUCCGGAAGAGGCGAGUGGAAUUCCUGGUGUAGCGGUGAAAUGCGCAGAUAUCAGGAGGAACACCAAUGGCGAAGGCAGCUCGCUGGGCCGGUACUGACGCUGAGGAGCGAAAGCGUGGGUAGCAAACAGG
rnacentral:rRNA from 1 species